rnacentral:rRNA from 1 species
CCUACGGGUGGCUGCAGUGGGGAAUAUUGGACAAUGGGCGAAAGCCUGAUCCAGCCAUGCCGCGUGUGUGAAGAAGGCCUUCGGGUUGUAAAGCACUUUCAGUGGGGAAGAAAGCCUUGGGGCUAAUACCCUCGAGGAAGGACAUCACCCACAGAAGAAGCACCGGCUAACUCCGUGCCAGCAGCCGCGGUAAUACGGAGGGUGCGAGUGUUAAUCGGAAUUACUGGGCGUAAAGCGCGCGUAGGCGGUCUGAUAAGCCGGUUGUGAAAGCCCCGGGCUCAACCUGGGAACGGCAUCCGGAACUGUCAGGCUAGAGUGCAGGAGAGGAAGGUAGAAUUCCCGGUGUAGCGGUGACAUGCGUAGAGAUCGGGAGGAAUACCAGUGGCGAAGGCGGCCUUCUGGACUGACACUGACGCUGAGGUGCGAAAGCGUGGGUAGCAAACAGGAUUAGAUACCCCGGUAGUC